UACGUAGGGUGCAAGCGUUGUCCGGAAUUAUUGGGCGUAAAGAGCUCGUAGGCGGUUUGUCGCGUCUGCUGUGAAAACCCGAGGCUCAACCUCGGGCCUGCAGUGGGUACGGGCAGACUAGAGUGCGGUAGGGGAGAUUGGAAUUCCUGGUGUAGCGGUGGAAUGCGCAGAUAUCGAGAGGAACACCUGCGGCGAAGGCGGGUUGCUGGGCUGACACUGACGCUGAACUGCGAAAGCUAGGGGAGCGAACGGG
rnacentral:rRNA from 1 species